rnacentral:rRNA from 1 species
UACGUAGGGCGCAAGCGUUGUCCGGAAUUAUUGGGCGUAAAGAGCUCGUAGGCGGUUUGUCGCGUCUGCUGUGAAAACUCGAGGCUCAACCUCGGGCUUGCAGUGGGUACGGGCAGACUAGAGUGCGGUAGGGGUGACUGGAAUUCCCGGUGUAGCGGUGAAAUGCGCAGAUAUCGGGAAGAACACCCGUGGCGAAGGCGGCUCUCUGGGACGGUACUGACGCUGAGGCACGAAGGUCAGGGGAGCAAACGGG